rnacentral:hammerhead_ribozyme from 1 species
AUCAAACUGACAAGUCCCAAAUAGGACGAAACGUGCGUUCCGGAU